rnacentral:rRNA from 1 species
UACGGAGGAUGCGAGCGUUAUCCGGAUUUAUUGGGUUUAAAGGGUGCGUAGGCGGGAUGCCAAGUCAGCGGUAAAAAUGCGGUGCUCAACGCCGUCGAGCCGUUGAAACUGGCGUUCUUGAGUGGGCGAGAAGUAUGCGGAAUGCGCGGUGUAGCGGUGAAAUGCAUAGAUAUCACGCAGAACUCCGAUUGCGAAGGCAGCAUACCGGCGCCCUACUGACGUUGAGGCACGAAAGCGUGGGGAGCAAACAGG